rnacentral:rRNA from 1 species
GUGGGGAAUAUUGGACAAUGGGCGAAAGCCUGAUCCAGCCAUGCCGCGUGUGUGAAGAAGGUCUUCGGAUUGUAAAGCACUUUAAGUUGGGAGGAAGGGCAGUAAGUUAAUACCUUGCUGUUUUGACGUUACCGACAGAAUAAGCACCGGCUAACUUCGUGCCAGCAGCCGCGGUAAUACGAAGGGUGCAAGCGUUAAUCGGAAUUACUGGGCGUAAAGCGCGCGUAGGUGGUUUUGUAAGUUGGAGGUGAAAUCCCCGGGCUCAACCUGGGAACUGCUUCCAAAACUGGAUGACUAGAGUACGGUAGAGGGGAGUGGAAUGUCCUGUGUAGCGGUGAAAUGCGUAGAUAUAGGAAGGAACACCAGUGGCGAGGGCGACUACCUGGACUGAUACUGACACUGAGGUGCGAAAGCGUGGGGAGCAAACAGGAUUAGAUACCCUAGUAGUCC